UACAGAGGUCUCAAGCGUUGUUCGGAUUCAUUGGGCGUAAAGGGUGCGUAGGUGGCGCCGUAAGUCAGGUGUGAAAUUUCGGAGCUUAACUCCGAAACUGCAUUUGAUACUGCGGUGCUUGAGGACUGGAGAGGAGACUGGAAUUUACGGUGUAGCAGUGAAAUGCGUAGAGAUCGUAAGGAAGACCAGGUGGCGAAGGCGGGUCUCUGGA
rnacentral:rRNA from 1 species